CCAACAUGGGUGCACCCAGCCAGAAGCCACUCUUCCUAGGAUCUGUUCAAGUGACAAAGAGGAGCACAGGGCUCUGUCCCAUGGUGGACAGUCCCCCUCCACAUGUUGGAGAUGAGCCUGGCCUAUGUCUGCAUAUUCCUUGGACUCUUCAGAGUGGUGUGGACAAUGACUGAGGAGAAAAACAUACAGCAAAAAGUU
ensembl:snoRNA SNORA73 Small nucleolar RNA SNORA73 family